UACGAAAAUGAAAUUUCAAGA
rnacentral:piRNA from 1 species